GGGAUGAUAGCUCAGUUGGGAGAGCGCGAGAGUGAAGCUUCAGUUCUUGAGGUCGGGCGUUCGAUCCGCCCUCGUCCCA
rnacentral:tRNA from 2 species